rnacentral:lncRNA from 1 species
CUCAUUUGAAAAAUUCACACAGCAAUCUUUAUAUGAUCCAUCUCGAGUACUGACAAUUGAAGAAACAUGAUCCAGCGUUUCAUCCUCUUCUUUGCAUAGUAAACAUAGUGAGUGGGUUGACAGUGUAAGAAUAAACAAUAUAAAUUACGAAACAGCAAGGGUAAAAUAUUUCAUGUGAGAUAGUUCAUGAAAUAUUUAACAACAUGGAUAAAAUCACUUACAAAAUACGAAAUAAGGCUACAAUCUGUGUUCAUCCGGCCGGGUGUCUGAUUUCAUUGAAAUGGUCAGCUACAAUCAAAUCAACAUGAAUCAUACCACAUUACAAGAUAUUUCUUAAAAGAUAUAACAAGAAAUCGGCAUCGAAAAGAGCAUGCAUUGAUACGUUGCGAUAGGACGCAAUCGAUAUCACACCUGAAAUGUUUGAUAUUGAUUCAAAUUUCAGAGAGAUGGUAAAAUCUUGUUUGAAAUCAACAUCCUUUGCUACCUUUAUGGAGGGAUCUCUAACAAAUAUUAUCAUAGCAUGCAGAUGCGUGAGGGAAGGAGACCCACCCAACCACUCUCACCACUACUGUAACUGUUUAUAUAGUAGACUAGAAUAUUUAUCGAGGUUGAUAAAAAAUACAGUCCAACAAGGAAGAUUAAAGCUAUACAUAAUGGGUGGUGUGAAAGUAAUCUCGUAUCUCACUUUUGUCAAUGUGAUCUUCUUUUCAAGAGCUUCACGAAAAUCAUUCCAGACACCAUAGAGCAUUCUAACGUAAUUUACAAGGUUUUCUAGAUCUGAUCUUGAGAAUAACAUCACAAAAGGUUUCAUAAUCUUCUCCAAAAAAAGUGGCAGAGCAUGAGGAGUUGUCCUCAAUCCUUGGAUUUGAAGUGAAGGCAUAUUACCAAUGGUGCAUCUAGGUGUUCUAAUAUCAGGAAAAUCGGUUUCACACAAUGACUGCAAGGCAAUGAUUUCUGAUCUAGAAGGAAUACUUGCAAGAUAUGGAGUGGCAAGGGUCUCUCAUAUUGUGGAAGAAUGCAAUUGGUUCUAUUGGUCUUCCAUGGGAAAUCUAACAACAUAACACAAAGUAGUUUCCUUCCCCAAUUCACAAUUAACUCGAUUAGAUUUAUCGCCUACAUAUUUAUUUGGGGGACUACACAACGCGAGGUGAUACACUGCUGAGUGAAGAGCGUCCAAAUCUGGUGGUUCCGGUACCCUACAACGAUCUGAGAAAUGACGUGCUCGCUAUUGCGGAAGGAGCGACUGAACCAAAAUGGAACCAAAAUGAUGCCGACCGAAUCGAAGAUCGAGAAGACUGGAACUCCGGCGAGGCGUGCGACCUGGAGAAGGCUAUCCCGGCAAUGGAACCAGAGUCGGGUCGGAUCAGGAAGAGUAAUCGGAUAACCCGACCCCCAAAUUGGGUUAGGGAUUUCGAGACGUUCGGCAUGGGAAAUUAGUAAUCUGGUUGAGUCGGCUGCCUUGGGAGAGUUAUGGGUGAAAUUGCUUGUAGAACCCUGAAAUUUAAUUUUUUUUUUUUUUUUUUUUUGUAAUUUUCUUUAUUUCCGGCUGUAAACAGUUAAAGAGGGGACUGUUACAAUUUUUUGGGUAAUGAGAAAUUUGAGAACCAUUUCCUACCCUACAUCCGUCGCCUCCACCCCCGCUUUCCGGCUUCCCAGCCGAGUACGAUCACCCACGACCUUUUCCUUCGCUUUCUUACACGACGCCAAGCACUCUGCCAGUAUCUAUCCGCGCCGUUCUCCCGAUUCCUUGUCUCUCGAUUCCGAUUCGGUCGGCAUCAUUUGGUGCUUUCUUCUGUUGAACUCUACCCUUUAAUAUUUCAAACACGGAUGGCAAACAACAUGGAUCUGUCUUCAAAUCCGGACUUUAUCAGACUCCAAUCACUGCAAAUGAACCAGAUAAGAGAUAUGGGAGAACUUCGGACCUCGGUGAAUAAAAAUUUCUUGGAGUUAAGCAAGCAAAUGGCAGAUUUGUGUGCCAAGUUUUCCGCUUCACCUUCAGCGGGAAGUUCUGAUUCACCCCCUGCAAACAGAUCGCAGAUCCACAGACAGACCGUGGAUACUCCUGAAAUUAUUAAACAGCCCCAACCAUACUUUCAAUCUGUGGUGAAUUUAGAUAAUCCGAGCUAUGCUGCGACCAUUCUGGAGUACCCAAAUUACAGCCCAGCAAAACACAUUAAGGUUAAUAUGCCGAGAUUUGAUGGUACGGAAGUGGAACAUUGGCUUUACUCGGUAAGAAGAUACUUCAUUUUUAAUAAAGUGCCUGAGGAUCAAAAGCUGUUAAUCGUAUCAUUUCAUCUUGAUGGCCUUGCAAGGAAAUGGUUUGCGUGGUUAGAGGCCAGUAAUAUGCUGUCCACCUGGCCUAACUUUGUGGAUGCUGUAGUGAGGAAAUUCUCUAAUUUACACUACCAAUUGCCCGGUGGUAAAUUGAGCAAAUUGGUUCAAGAGAGUACAGUGGCAGAAUAUCAGGCCGCGUUUGAAGAGAUGUGCACACGAGUCUUGGGUUUGCCGGAAUAUUUUAUACUAGAAAUGUAUAUAUCUGGUCUGAAAAAGGAAAUACAAGCUGAUGUCAUACUGGGGAAGCCUAAUGACAUUCAUGAAGCAUUCGAAAUGUCCCUGAUGAUUGAGUCAAGAAAAGGAUCAGACCGAGCUACAUACUACAAACCCUAUGCGCCCAAACAAGCUAAAUCCUACUUCAACCAGGAACAUCUACAGAACCGAAAUAUUGUUGAGCCCAAACAGCAGAAUACAUCAGUCCAGGAAUUUCCAACCACUAAGAAAUUGUCUGCAGCUGAACGAGCUGAGAGAAGAAGCAAAGGACUCUGUUUUAACUGUGAUGAAAAAUUCUCAGCAAAUCACAAUAAUGUAUGUAUGGGCAGGAAGGGCAAAUUAUACCGGUUGUCUGCUGAUCAGUUGGAAUUAGUUGAAAUAGAAGAUCAGGAAGAGCCGGAAGAAGAUAUUGAGUUGAAUAAUGCACAGAACACUAUUCAAAAUACCAUCACUGAAAUCUCGUUACACGCUUUUGAAGGCAUCAUCAGCUCCAGUACACUCCGAUUGAUAGGUUACAUCAAAUGUCAGUCAGUAAGUGUGUUGAUUGAUUCUGGGUCCAGCCACAACUUUAUGCAGGUGGAUGUGGCAGUAGCAUUGAAAUUAACUAUUCAUAUGAUCAACCCCUUCUAUGUAUCUACCGGAAGUGGAGAGAAACUGGUGUGUAACAAGAUGUGCAAGGAUGUCGAAGUUAAAAUUCAGGAUGUUCCCAUUUCAAUGGAUAUCUUUCUGAUUCCUAUGGCCGGUUCUAACAUGGUAGUCGGAGUACAAGCCUUAAAAACUUUUGGCCCGGUGACUUUUGAUUUUGAGAAGUCUAGUAUGGAAUUUUACCUGUCAGACAGAAGGAUUGCGUGGAAUGGAUUACCUUGGAUAUCAGAGGAUCCUCUAACGGUUGGCCAACUGAAAUGCCUAGUGGCUUCUACACAAGAAGCCUACAUUUGUUAUCUCGACGGCAUGGACAGCAAGGAUGCUACUGGUAAUUGGGACAACAGUAAUCCUGACAUUACCCAGGUAGUCCAGGAAUAUAGUGAUCUCUUUGAAGAGCCUCGUGGGCUACCUCCCCAGAGGGACAGAGACCAUUCGAUUUAUCUAGAACCGGGAGCCACACCCGUUAAUGUCAGACCAUACAGGUACCCACAAUUUCAGAAAUCUGAGAUUGAGAAAAUUUCUGAAAUGUUGAAGCAAGGAAUCAUCAAACCCAGUUCAAGUCCGUACUCAUCUCCCGUUCUGUUGGUGAAAAAGAAAGAUGGUGGGUAUCGGUUGUGUGUGGAUUAUAGAGCCCUAAAUGCUCUUACGAUCAAGGACAAGUAUCCAAUUCCCACUAUUGAUGAGUUGUUGGGGGAAUUGAAAGGGUCUGCCAUCUACUCCAAGCUGGAUCUGAGGUCUGGAUUCCAUCAGAUCAGAAUCAAUCCCAAUCACACGGAGAAAACAACAUUUCGGACCCAUCAAGGACACUAUGAGUUCCUUGUGAUGCCUUUUGGAUUGACCAAUGCCCCAGCCACCUUCCAAUCAGUCAUGAAUUCUGUGUUUUCCAGGUAUUUAAGGAAAUUCGUGAUUGUAUUUUUUGAUGAUAUUUUGGUCUACAGCACUUUCAUACAGGAGCAUCUUGGUCAUUUGAGAUGUGUCUUUGACAUUCUUCGCGCAAAUAAACUAGUGGUCAAACUCUCCAAGUGUUCCUUCGGUAGAGAGUCCAUGUCAUUCUUGGGGCACAUUAUCGCUGUUGAUGGAGUUCACCCAGACCCCGAGAAGGUUAAGGCUAUGGUGGAAUGGCCAACACCUAAAACCCUAAAAAUGUUACGGGGUUUUUUGGGCCUUACUGGUUAUUACAGAAGAUUUAUCAAAGGAUAUGCCUCAAUUGCAGCCCCCAUGACAAAUCUGUUGAAGAAAGGUUGUUUCAGUUGGGGAGACGAAGCCUCUGUCAGUUUUAAUAAACUCAAAUCAGCAAUGGUGACAGCUCCUGUACUAGUCUUCCCUGAUUUUGAAUCUGAGUUCACGGUGGAGACAGAUGCUUGCAAAAAUGGGGUAGGCGCAGUCCUCAGUCAGAAUGAUCAUCCCAUCUGUUUUUUCAGUUGCAAACUUUCAGGAAGGAUUAUGGCAGCAUCUACAUAUAUAAAGGAAAUGUUUGCGAUCACUCAGGCCGUGAGCAAGUGGAGGCAUUACUUGUUGGGCUCUCAUUUUGUGAUCAAAACGGAUCAUAAGAGUCUUAAGAACCUGCUAACCCAGACCAUUCAGACACCCGAGCAGCAAGUCUUCCUAUGUAAAUUGCUGGGUUUUGACUUCUCCAUCGUGUAUAAACCGGGGAAGGAGAACGUGGUGGCAGAUGCUCUAUCUAGAAGCUUUGAAGAAGGAGAGGAAGAGGUGUUAUUUACUUCCAAUUCCAUCGGCACACCUGGUUCACUAUUGGCCUUCUCGACACCGUUUUAUUCCCUCAUUGAUGAGAUCAAAAGUGAAAAUGAAAAGAAUCCAGAAGUUCAGAUAAUGGUUGGUAAGUAUUCUGCUUUGGAUGAAGGCUCAGGGGGCUUUACAGUCAGAGAUGGCACCCUCUUUUUCAAAGACCGGUACUACCUACAUGAAAAAUCAGAGCUCAUCAAAAAGAUACUUUAUGAGUUCCAUGACUCGAAACUGGGGGGGCAUUCCGGGGUACACCGAACCUGGAAGAGAAUAGCCAAAUAUUUUUUCUGGCCAAACAUGGGCUCUCACAUAGCAAGGUAUGUGAAGGAAUGCAUAGUGUGCCAACAGAUGAAACCGACAAAUUCUAAAGCCGCCGGGCUGUUGUUACCUCUACCUAUUCCCUCUAGAGUUUGGGAAGACAUCAGCAUGGAUUUCAUUACCGAUCUCCCUAAAGUCCGGGGUAAAUCAGUGAUAAUGGUUGUGGUGGACCGGCUGUCCAAAUAUUCUCACUUUAGUGCACUUCCACCAAAUUUUACAGCUUCCAAAGUGGCCGAAAUCUUCAUUCAGGAUGUGGUUAAGUUACACGGUAUUCCAAGCUCAAUUGUGUCUGAUAGAGACAAGGUCUUCACUUCACGGUUUUGGAAGGAGUUGAACGCGAGAAGCGGCACUAAAUUGAACUUUUCCUCGGCUUAUCACCCCCAAUCGGAUGGACAAACGGAAGUGGUUAAUAGGACUCUUGAAAUGUACCUACGGUCUUAUUGUCAUGAUAAUCCUACGCAGUGGCUUCCACUCCUACCGUGGGCAGAAUUGUGGUACAAUUCGAGUUUCCACUCCUCACUAGGCUCAACUCCAUUCAAAGCGUUGUAUGGGAGAGAGGCCAUUGAACUACCUCAGUACCAACAAGGUGAUUCUGCGGUUCAAGCGGUAGACAACAUGUUAUGCCUCCGGGAUGACAUUCUAGAACAACUAAAGCAUAAUCUCAGGAAUGCCCAGUCGCGAAUGAAGGCUCAAGCUGACAGGAGGAGGUCUGAAUUAGCAUUUGAAGUGGGUGAAUGGGUUCUGGUUAGAUUAAAGCCCUAUAGGCAGGAAUCUGUAGCACAUCGCAUGCAUAAUAAAUUGGGCAAGAGGUACUUCGGUCCUUACCAAAUUGAGAAGAAAAUUAACGAGGUUGCUUACAAAUUGAAGUUUCCGGAGGGCAGCAAGAUUCAUCCGGCUUUCCAUGUGUCGCAGCUGAAGAAAUUCCACGGGCCGGCACCUGCAAACAGUGGAGACAACAUACCAAUUAUUACGGUACAAAACCAACCCAUAAUUUAUCCAGUUUCUGUGUUUGCCAGGCGAGAAAUUUUUCAGGGGGGACGUCAACGGCAACAGCUGCUCAUCCUGUGGAAUGGCACCAUUCCGGAAGACUCGUCAUGGGAAUUUGAGGACGACGUGCGGCGGUCUUUCCCUUCGUUCAACAUUGAGGGCAAUGUUGAAUCUCAAGCGGCGGGUGAUGAUACACUGCUGAGUGAAGAGCGUCCAAAUCUGGUGGUUCCGGUACCCUACAACGAUCUGAGAAAUGACG